GUCUCUAUGUGGAGCAAUCGGUUAACGCGUUCUGCUGUAAACCUAAAGAUUGGUGGUUCGAGCCCACCCAGUAACU